UACGGGGGGGGCAAGCGUUGUUCGGAAUUACUGGGCGUAAAGGGUUCGUAGGUGGCUUGCUAAGUCAGACGUGAAAUCCCUCAGCUUAACUGGGGAACUGCGUCUGAUACUGGCGGGCUUGAGUGCAGGAGAGGAACGCGGAAUUCCAGGUGUAGCGGUGAAAUGCGUAGAUAUCGGGAGGAACACCAGUGGCGAAGGCGACUUCCUGGCCUGUUCUUGACGCUGAGGCGCGAAAGCUAGGGGAGCAAACGGG
rnacentral:rRNA from 1 species